GGCCACAGAUCUAUUUUAUUCAGUUUUCCUUUUUUCCCUUCAUCAUAAAACAUGUGACAUGCUGUCAUGCACUUCACAAAAGAAGUUUGUUCUGACGUAUUCAGAGUUGUGUAUCUAAAUACAGGAUUCACUCGCACAUCAAAACAGGAAACUCAGUGUUUUAGAGUCUCCACUCAACACACAACAAACUCCAACACAUCUCAUUCACUCGUGCUAGAAUUCAAUCACCUUUCAUUAAUCUAAAACCGAUCAACUAAUUUGCAUAUCAGCUAUUAACCCACUAAGUUGACAGGACGACAGAAAAGCAUGUUCAAAAUAGUAUCACAAAAGACAAUUUCCCUCAUACAGUAAAUUACAUGUGCUGCCUCAAUCAAGCAGGAAGCUUCUCCCAAUUUACCAUUUUAACAACUAAAUUUAUUGUCUGAUCACUGGUUGGUCAAACCAGGAUCUUUUUUUCCCACAAAAGUUAAACUGUUGUCCUGCAACCUGGAGAGUCAAUUUUUUGCAUUGGAUAAAUUCAGUAUUUAAUAACAAGUGUCUGCUAAAUUGACACUAUUUUAACACUGAUGAAAGAUAACAAGCUAAUUUUCAUUGCAUGGGUGUUUGUGCCUUUCCUACACAUUUCUCUGCUAUUAUUUAAUCAUUUCUUAACUAAUGUGCUAUGAGUCCACUGGUCUUUGCAUCACACUAAGUGACUUGGACAAGAUGAUAAACAGAUUCACAUGCUGAAGAUGUUGUCUAAUCUUCAUGAGCUCUCUUGUGUUUGUGUUAGUAGGGUUAAUGCAUGUUCUGCUUGUGUGUGUGAUUUUGUAUAUGAUGUAUAUGUUUUUUAUAUUUGCAUAUAUCCAGACUCCUUCUCAAUUUUCCAACUUAAGCAGUCAGUUUUCUUUUCCCCAGGUUUGCUAACCCAAAUUUUGAUUUCCCACAUUAAAUAACAGCAUUCCUAUGUGUUCUCACCUAGUCUUCUCACUCUGUUGUCCUCUCACUCUUUUGUCCUCUCCCACUUCAACAGUCCAAACAGCCGGCAGUUCUCCUUCAGCUUUGUCCUGUGUUCCACUGUCUCUUCUUGCCAUUUUACUCCACAGGUGGCAAAUGUCAAACUCCAACUGUUCAGUUCUCCUCAAACGUUUUCUUCACAUGCACAGUGAAGUCACAGCCUGUUGUAAACACAGUGCCAUCCAUCCGAUCAGUCAGGAUGAUGGGUUUGCUCUUCUUCUCUGAUACUGUUUGUCCACAUUGCUGCUGCUUUGCUGGGACUCUUUGCUCAGGACUUGCUGCUGUCUCUUUAUCAUGUUAUUGCUUUGGAGCUGCAUUCCUUGUCUUCAGGGAGGGGUGAGAGCUUGCUUGCUUGUGAGGUUGAGAGACACAUGGCGCUGUAAAUAAGUCAGCCAGAAACUUGGCCUGCAUGUUUCCAAUGAUGUUAAACUAUAACUUUCUUCCGACUGCUGCAUGUGGAAAAUUGAUACAGGUCUGCUUUUCACCUGAAAGUGACAAACUAAGACAUUUCAUUAUUAUCAUCACUGCUUAAUCAACACAUCUCUCUCUCUCUCUGUGUUUUUGUGAACAGUCUUUUCUUAAAAGCAGAAAAUGAAAUUGUAGUUGUUUUUGGCUGAUCAACACAAAACCUUUUUCCUAUGAUUUUUCUUUUUCACUCUUUUUUUUCUUUUUUUUUCGUUACAAUAGCUGGUGACCUGCAGAAUCACCGCUCUCACUCACAAUCAAAGGCAAUUACUUUUACACAGCGCACAAAAACACUGUGAUGUCAGACACAUUCACACUCACUUUUUCAUCUGCAUAAAUAAACCAUAUGGCUGGAGAUAUGUGCCAUGGUGAUCCAUAAGCAUGAUCACCAGUUUAUUUAAUUAUUUUUAAUCCAACAAAACAAAUAAACAAAAACAUGAUGCUGAUGCUACACACACACACGAGUCAAGGUGCAGAAAAACUGCUCAUGGAAACGCUGCACACUCUCUGUUUCCCUCUCUUUGAGUAGUUCUCAGACAGCUCUUGAUCUGAUAAUGUGUAGCUUGCUCAUCAGCUCAAAAAACAAAAACAAAACUGCAACGCGACAUCACACAGUAGUU
ensembl:lncRNA